rnacentral:tRNA from 1 species
GCGCCUGUAGCUCAGCGGAUAGAGCAAUGGUCUACGAAACCAAAGGUCGGAGGUUCGAAUCCUCUCAGGCGCGCCA